rnacentral:misc_RNA from 1 species
GAUGAAGAACGCAUCGAAAUGCGAUACGUAGUGUGAAUUGCAGAAUUCAGUGAAUCAUCGAAUCUUUGAACGCACAUUGCACCUCUCGGUAUUCCGGGAGGUAUGCCUGUUCGAGCGUCAUUUGUACCCUCAAGCUCUGCUUGGUGUUGGGUGUUUGUUCCGCCUCUGUGUGUGAACUCGCCUCAAAACAAUUGGCAGCCGGCGUACUUGUUUCGGAGCGCAGCACAUUUUGCGAUCCAGAUCAACGUACAGCGGCAUCCAAGAAGCGUUAUUUAACGCUCUUGACCUCGGAUCAGGUAGGGAUACCCGCUGAACUUAAGCAUAUCAAUAAGCGGAGGA